rnacentral:rRNA from 1 species
GAUGAACGCUGACAGAAUGCUUAACACAUGCAAGUCGAUUCGAUUUACCUUCGGGUAUUGAGGAUGGCGGACGGGUGAGUAACGCGUAAGGAACUUGCCUCUUGGUCUGGGACAACUGUUGGAAACGACAGCUAAUACCAGAUAUUAUGAGAUUCUCGCAUGAGAAACUUAUGAAAGCUAUAUGCGCCAAGAGAGAGCCUUGCGUUCCAUUAGCUAGUUGGUGGGGUAACGGCCCACCAAGGCGACGAUGGAUAGCCGGCCUGAGAGGGCGAACGGCCACAAGGGGACUGAGACACGGCCCUUACUCCUACGGGAGGCAGCAGUGGGGAAUAUUGGACAAUGGGCCACAAGCCUGAUCCAGCAAUUCUGUGUGCACGAUGAAGGUCUUCGGAUUGUAAAGUGCUUUCAGUUGGGAAGAAGAAAGUGACGGUACCAACAGAAGAAGCGACGGCUAAAUACGUGCCAGCAGCCGCGGUAAUACGUAUGUCGCAAGCGUUAUCCGGAUUUAUUGGGCGUAAAGCGCGUCUAGGCGGAAAAAUAAGUCUGAUGUUAAAAUGCGGGGCUCAACUCCGUAUUGCGUUGGAAACUGUUUUUCUAGAGUACUGGAGAGGUGGGCGGAACUACAAGUGUAGAGGUGAAAUUCGUAGAUAUUUGUAGGAAUGCCNAUGGAGAA